rnacentral:rRNA from 1 species
AUGUCCAGCAGUGUAUGGGCGCUGGCCCCUGAACAUCUGGUGCAACACCUUGUUGAUCGGCAAGAGGAGAGCCCAAAGGACUGGCUUUUUGUGUUACAUGAUAUACUGAGUAAGGGAGAUUUUGUUCGGCUUGUUGUCACGUUGUGGGCAAUUUGGGGAGCGAGAAGGAAAGCAAUCCACGAGGCCAUAUUCCAGUCACCAUUAUCUAUACAUGGUUUCAUCACGCGAUACCUGGCUGAGCUUCAAGUGUUGAAUACUGUAUCGUCGAAGCCGGCGGUAGCAAAGCCCGUUAGAUCGACUAUCUGGCAACUGCCGGUAGCGGACAGUGCAAAAGUAAAUGUGGAUGCGGCAGUACCUCAAAACAGAAGAUAUGGAGCCGUGGGUGCGAUAAGCAGGAGCGCGGAUGGAUCGUUCCUGGGAACCUCAGCCCUAGUGUUCAGACAUGUUUCAGAACCGGAGACUUUGGAAGCAUUGGCCAUUCGAGAAGCCCUUGCACUAUCAGAUGAUCUAUAUUUGCGGAGGAUCCAUGUGGCGUCUGACUGCAAAGUGGUGGUUGAGGACAUUACGAAGGAGAAUACAUCUCGGUAUGGAGCAAUCAUACAUGAAAUAAUAGAUCACUCGUCGUUUUUUGAUUUUUGCAAGUUUAGCCAUGAAUUUAGGAGCUCAAAUUAUGAGGCUCACAAUUUAGCGAAGCAUGCACUUUCUCUAGGGGUUGGCCGCCAUGUUUGGUUAGGCCAGCCCGGAGAUUUUCCGUUCGUCCCUGUAAACAUUGUGACGGUUUAA